UGCUCAGUAACACGUGGACAACCUGCCCUUAGGUUGGGUAUAAACCCGGGAAACUGGGUAUAAUACCCGAUAGGUCUCGAUUGCUGGAAUGCAUCGAGAUUUAAAGCUCCGGCGCCUAAGGAUGGGUCUGCGGCCUAUCAGGUAGUAGUGGGUGUAGCGUACCUACUAGCCUACGACGGGUACGGGUUGUGAGAGCAAGAGCCCGGAGAUGGAUUCUGAGACACGAAUCCAGGCCCUACGGGGUGCAGCAGGCGCGAAAACUUUACAAUGCUGGCAACAGCGAUAAGGGAACCUCGAGUGCCAGGUUACAAAUCUGGCUGUCGAGAUGCCUAAAAGCAUUUCAUAGCAAGGGC
rnacentral:rRNA from 1 species